GACGUAGGGGGCCAGCGUUGUUCGGAAUUACUGGGUGUAAAGGGUUCGUAGGCGGUGUGGCAAGUCGGGAGUGAAAUCUCUGGGCUCAACUCAGAGACUGCUUCCGAAACUGCUGUGCUGGAGUGUGGGAGAGGCGCGUGGAAUUGCAGGUGUAGCGGUGAAAUGCGUAGAUAUCUGCAGGAACACCCGUGGCGAAGGCGGCUCUCUGGAACGCAACUGACGCUGAGACGCGAAAGCGUGGGGAGCAAACAGG
rnacentral:rRNA from 1 species